GGUUCCUUCGGGGCCCAACCUCCCACCCUUGUAUACUGUACCAAGUUGCUUCGGCGGGCCCGCCGUUCGCGCGGCCGCCGGGGGGGAACCCCUCCCCCCGGGCGAGCGCCCGCCGGAGACCCCAACGUGAACACUGUCUGAAGUUUUGUCGUCUGAGUUCGAUUGUAUCGCAAUCAGUUAAAACUUUCAACAAUGGAUCUCUUGGUUCCGGCAUCGAUGAAGAACGCAGCGAAAUGCGAUAAUUAAUGUGAAUUGCAGAAUUCAGUGAAUCAUCGAGUCUUUGAACGCACAUUGCACCCCCUGGUAUUCCGGGGGGUAUGCCUGUCCGAGCGUCAUUGCUGCCCUCAAGCCCGGCUUGUGUGUUGGGUCCUCGUCCCCCCCGGGGGACGGGCCCGAAAGGCAGCGGCGGCACCGCGUCCGGUCCUCGAGCGUAUGGGGCUUUGUCACACCGCUCUCGUAGGCCCGGCCGGCGCUGGCCGACGCUGAAAAGCAACCAUUAUUUCUCCAGGUUGACCUCGGAUCAGGUAGGGAUACCCGCUGAACUUAAGCAUAUCAAUAAGCCGGAGGA
rnacentral:rRNA from 1 species